rnacentral:rRNA from 1 species
AUAGAUACCCAGGUAGUCCACGCCGUAAACGUUGGAUACUAGGUGUGGCGGUUAUACCAAUGACUGCCGUGCCGAAGCUAACGCAUUAAGUAUCCCGCCUGGGGAGUACGGCCGCAAGGCUAAAACUCAAAGGAAUUGACGGGUCCCCGCACAAGCGGCGGAGCAUGCGGCUUAAUUCGAUGCAACCCGAAGAACCUUACCUGGGUUUGACAUCACGGGAAAAGCUGUAGAAAUACAGUGUCCAUUAGGGCCCGUGACAGGUGGUGCAUGGCUGUCGCCAGCUCGUGUCGUGAGAUGUUGGGUUAAGUCCCGCAACGAGCGCAACCCUUGUCCUAUGUUGCCAGCGGUUCGGCCGGGGACUCAUAGGAGACUGCCGGGGAUAACUCGGAGGAAGGUGAGGACGACGUCAAGUCAUCAUGCCCCUUAUAUCCAGGGCUGCACGCAUGCUACAAUGGCCGGUACAACGGGCAGCGACCCCGCGAGGGUGAGCGAAUCCUAAAAAGCCGGUCCUAGUUCGGAUUGAAGUCUGCAACUCGACUUC